rnacentral:lncRNA from 1 species
UAAAGUUGAUUAAAAUGGCACAUCCAAGUAGAGUUUUAAUACACACCAAAACUAUGCAAUGAUCUUUCCCUUUCUUUAGAAAAAAGAAUUAUAUUUGUGAAAGGUGAGUGAUAGAGAUAUGAGGCCCUGGGUACAAAACUGGCAGUGCGAGAUUCUGCAGCACUGUCCUACCUUAGUAUGCUUUAAUAGAUUGAAUAGGCAUGAAGACAAAGUACAAUCCUUGGCCUCUCUGAGACUACAACAGGGUGCCAGUUGUGAGGAAAGGUCCACGUAAAUAAAAUCCAUCACUGAAAAUUACUAACUAAAGUCAGAGGCCACUGAGCAGCCAUCAGACAAUGAAUGAAGCCCAUGUUAGUUGGAGUCCAAAAUCAAAUUAGCAGCAUUGUGCACAAUCUGAUUGAACAGUGUGGAAUCAGGAAAUGGGUGGGAGCUCAGAAAGCUUGCUGCAUAUAAAACAACUAAUAACUGGACUUUGCAUCUACCAGAUGGAAAUUCAGAAUAUCUUGAGUUCUGUGUAGCUGACCAACUCAGAGAAUAUGCUGAAUGCAUUGUGUUGGAACACAAGGAUGGGCCCUGCAGUACUCACUGGCCACAAGCAAUUCCUUCCCAGCACUUUCUCCUGUGGUCAUAAUGAAAAAUGUACUGGUCAAACAGAGCGGGACCAAAAUUUCUUCAGCCUUCCAUCUGAGUGAAAAAUUCCUGAAAAUGCAGUGGGGAAAAAUGGAUGGGAACCCUCCAAGGAGAAACCACAAUCCAAGUUUAGUCUCUCCUGACUUUGUUGUGAGAUCUGACAGACUCACAGCCCAGGCUGGAAUGGUUGCAAGCAAAUGUGGUUAAACUUCACUAUUGAUCUCCAAAGAGAGAGUGAGGCUCUGUUAAGAUGUGCAAUGAAAGAGAUGGCUGGAGUAGGCAUUUAGAGGGAAGUCAGUUCUUUGAUCUCCACGACAUGCUCUCUUUAGCUUGACAAAACACUGUGUGGAUUCCUCCCUCCCUCCCAGUUCUUGGAAAUGUGGACAAACGGUUUAAGCAGACGCACAAAGCUCCAAUUUGGUAGGGGUUAGGCUAGCUUCUCCUACUGGUGCCUUCAGGGUGAGAGGUGGAAAAUGAAAUAGGGGCUCUCUUGUUAUGCUAACAAACUUCCCAGGGCAUGGUGCAAGCAAAACUUUACUGGUUUUUAUAAUAUACCUAAGUUACGAAAUUUUGUAAUGUAGCAGAGUGAGGGAGAGAAAUUAAGAAUAAACAAGGAAGACAGUCCA